UGCUUAAUAAUGUCACUUGUACUUGUAUUUUUCUAUUUCAGAGAGACAUCCAGUGCCUUACCCCUGUUUGAUUUGCUUUAUACUUCAGAAGAUAAUAGUUUUUAUACAAUAAUAUUUUUUGUAUUGUUGAAACUUUUCAGCUGCAUCUUUUUUUAUUCUUUUCCUUUUUUGAAGGAUUGCCUUUGCAGUAAAUCCACCCCAAAGAGGCUCAAAUACAGAAGACAUUGGGAGGAACUCCUCAACAGAGCCACAUCACAGCACAUCACUGAAUGAAAGAUGCUCGCGGAGACAGAGACGGCUGAAAGCGCACCCUGUUUAUUUUCUUUAUUUUACAAAAGCACAAGGUUUUGUUGUUAUUGUGAGUGUACACAAAUAAAA